AACUAUUCUCACAAUUUAUCUCGUUUUUAUCUAGUUAUUGCACCGACAUUAAUAGACAAAAGACAACCAUCACUGUGGAAUCGAUAUCCAACAGACUCACAUUUGUCUACUAUACUUGCAUCGACAGUGUAGCUUUCACAUUAUUGCUAUCACGUUAAACAGCCGAUAAUUCCCAUGGAGCUUAACUAAUAAAAUAGGGUUUAUUUGACCUACUUGAACUGGCCCGACUCGUGGAACAUAUGGAGAAGUCC
rnacentral:lncRNA from 1 species